rnacentral:rRNA from 1 species
AUGAACGCUGGCGGCGUGCCUAAUACAUGCAAGUCGAGCGAACGGACGAGAAGCUUGCUUCUCUGAUGUUAGCGGCGGACGGGUGAGUAACACGUGGAUAACCUACCUAUAAGACUGGGGUAACUUCGGGAAACCGGAGCUAAUACCGGAUGAUAUUUUGAACCGCAUGGUUCAAAAGUGAAAGACGGUCUUGCUGUCACUUAUAGAUGGAUCCGCGCUGCAUUAGCUAGUUGGUAAGGUAACGGCUUACCAAGGCAACGAUGCAUAGCCGACCUGAGAGGGUGAUCGGCCACACUGGAACUGAGACACGGUCCAGACUCCUACGGGAGGCAGCAGUAGGGAAUCUUCCGCAAUGGGCGAAAGCCUGACGGAGCAACGCCGCGUGAGUGAUGAAGGUCUUCGGAUCGUAAAACUCUGUUAUUAGGGAAGAACAUAUGUGUAAGUAACUGUGCACAUCUUGACGGUACCUAAUCAGAAAGCCACGGCUAACUACGUG